rnacentral:rRNA from 1 species
AUUGAACGCUGGCGGCAUGCCUUACACAUGCAAGUCGAACGGCAGCACGGGAGCAAUCCUGGUGGCGAGUGGCGAACGGGUGAGUAGAGUAUCGGAACGUGCCCAGUCGUGGGGGAUAACGUAGCGAAAGUUACGCUAAUACCGCAUACGAUCUAUGGAUGAAAGCGGGGGAUCGCAAGACCUCGCGCGAUUGGAGCGGCCGAUAUCAGAUUAGGUAGUUGGUGGGGUAAAGGCUCACCAAGCCGACGAUCUGUAGCUGGUCUGAGAGGACGACCAGCCACACUGGGACUGAGACACGGCCCAGACUCCUACGGGAGGCAGCAGUGGGGAAUUUUGGACAAUGGGCGAAAGCCUGAUCCAGCCAUUCCGCGUGCAGGAUGAAGGCCUUCGGGUUGUAAACUGCUUUUGUACGGAACGAAAAGGUUUGGGCUAAUAAGCUGAGCUCAUGACGGUACCGUAAGAAUAAGCACCGGCUAACUACGUGCCAGCCGCCGCCGUAA